AGUGAGAUUGCUGUGUUGUAUGGUAAAUGUAUGCUUUGUUUUUUAAAUAACUGUCAAACUAUUUUCCAGAGUGGCUAUACCAUUUUGCUUUCUCAUCAGCAAU
rnacentral:pre_miRNA from 1 species